AAACGCCGGCGCCUCCAUCCCCAGCCGCGGCUCGGGAAUCUACGUCACCCGAAGAGCGGCUAUAAACGCCCGCGCCUCCACUGUGCUCUCCUCUUCACUUAGGUAGGUCCUGCCGCGUUGACCGCUGGCAUCCCGCUGGUGGUCUUCGAGACCGGCGUUGUUUGAAAAUCACCCCCGGCUUUGGCCGUGGCCGCGGGUGAGAUUCGGCGCCCAGAGCCUCCGGGGGCCUCAGCUCACCGCGCGCUACCCCAUGUGCGGCGGUGAAACCCAGGCCCCGACAGGCGCCGCGGCCUCCCCCCGGGUGCGGCCGCUCGCGAGGUCUGGCCCCUGACUCCUGGCCUCGACUGCAGACCCCUAACCCUGUUUUUUCUCCGCAGGACACUCGUCCUCCCACGCGUGACACCGACGUCGCCAGGACCGCGGGGUCGGGGGAAGUUGCCUGUCCCCCGUCUUUCAAAUAAAGCUGUUUGUCUAA
rnacentral:lncRNA from 1 species